rnacentral:lncRNA from 1 species
GCCUCCUGUUGGACGUGAGAUGUGUCCAAGCAUCAGCCCCUUUUGCUUAAGAAAAACUCUUUAACUUCCACGCAGCCGGCAGGCAAGCUUUUCUAAGAUCCUGUGGACCCAACGUUGUAUUGAUAGAGUUAUAUAUUUUUAUUUAUAUAUACAUACACACAUACACAGGUGUGCAUGUGUAUGUGUGUAAGUACGUAUGUAUAGAGAGAGACAGAUAAAUUAAAACCGCAGCUAUACUGCAAGCUCCUCUAAAAUUUCCUGCUCGUCAGAGUAGCUCUCUGCAUCGUUUUGUUAAAUACAGCCCGGCGGGAAAGCCAUCAUCAAUCAAUUUCGGGUAACAAGGAAGACUUGUUGAACACCUUGUUCUCCAGACCCCGGGAAGAUGCUGGGCUGCUGGAGCGUGGAAGAGCCAGGAUUGUGCCCUGAACUUCACCCACUUGGCAGCAGCUAUUCCUAAACAAUUUCCCCUCUCCUCCCCUGCCUGUUUGCCUCUCGGACUGACUGAGAAUCUGCUCUUUAAAGUUGAUCUGAAGGGGAAAGCAGAGACGAGCUUGUGCAUAGUUUGGGGCUCAUUAUGGAACCCUUGCCAAUUAGGUCUCCCAAGAACUAGUUACACAGGAAUAGAUCUGCUGUGAAGGUAUCGGAUUAACUGCAUGUAUUCUUUAUAUUGCUGGUUUCGAAGUGAACUGAUGUCCUGGCUUGCUUCUGCCAGUGCUGUGGUAAGUGCUGUGAAGGAAGAGGUAUAGAAAUGUUCCUUGUGAGCUCUGUGUUUGUACCCCAAAAGCUGCUUUGAAAAGAUGUGGAGAAGAGUCACAGCUUGGAUUGGAUUUUUAUUCUUACAGCAGAGGGUAAGCAUCCUGCUCCACUUACCCUUGCAUAUUCCUGCCCCCCAAGAUCCUGCAGCAUUCUUCUGGUUUGCAUAUUAUUCAGCAUUGUAGCCAUCUUCUUCCGUUAUUGUUUACCUAAUAUAAUUCAUCUUGUACCACAGAGCUGGGCAAGCCUAGCAGUAAAAUAAAGCAACUGUUUAAUAAUCAAAGCCCAAGACAAAAGUAUUAGUGCUUAGAAGGCUAAUGAACAAACUAUGUGGUUAUAGUCUUUGUUUAAAGUGAGGUGCCUCCUUAGUUCCUCAGUACGUCUCACUCAAAGGCUGUGUUGCACAUACUUACUUAAGGGAGAUGACCUGAUCUUUUCCCACAUCAGAUAAAUUCUUCAAAAUUUGGGGGAAUUCAAUUUCCUAUAUCAUUUUGCUGGUCUUAUUUUUAAUAACAGGCCAGUAGCAAAGCACUUUGCCAAGAUCUACUGCUCCUCUCCGAUAGUCAGUCUCUUGGUCAUCCUCUCCCCAGCAUGAGGGAAGGUUUUAGGAGAGAGCAUUUGUAGCUCCACACUGGACUCCUGUAUGCACUUGUGCACACGUGUUAACUCCUUUACCUUUCUGGGAGCAAACGCCAUAAUUUCUAUAUGCUCUUUGUGAGGUGAGAGGACAAGAUUGCCAGAGAAGCUUCCCUGAGAGACAUGAAUGUAGCAAUAGUAGUGACUGCACGCUGAUGGUGGGUAGCUCCUCUGAGGAAGAAGUGGUUUUUGUCUGCCUCACAUCUGAAUUACCCAGCAGUCAUGCCAAACUUAGCUUCCCAAGCUAGUGAGGAGGUACCUUGUAUUCCUUUCCCUCCCACCUGGAAGGGCUGAACCUUGGAAGGGUGAAAUAAAGGCUGAUCGUUUGUCUAAGGUGGCCAUUGUGAGCACAGCUGGGACCCAUCUACUCAUUGUACCCUGUCAGAGCUGGUGUUGACUUCUGCUGCUAGCACUUGUGCCAUUGCCAUAACUCUCUAGGCUGCCAUCCACAAAACGUGUGGGGAUGUAUGCAACACGAGUGGAAGAGGAAGGUUUGCUGGGUGUGGUGAGGGAAGAGCAGGCAAAACAUUUCUGGUUUUGAAAGGGAUGAAAGUUUAGCUGCAUGUUUGAAAGUUUGGAAGUUUAGCUGCAUGUGUUGCCAAUGGAGGUGAGAAAGGUCAAUAGUUUAGCCUUCCAUGACUAUUCAUAGUGACAUGAUGGAAUCUGGCUAGAAAUAUGCAGAAGAGCAUGAUUGAAACCUGGGGUUGCUUAAAAUGAGCUAAAAUUCUAAGUACCAUAUCAGUAGCUGCUUGACACAGGAAAGGAGACCUGACUUUUGUAAAUAAUUUUUUUACUUAUCUGUGUCUCUUUAACAGAAACUGGAGUAUCUAAGGGGGAAAAUUUAAAGCCUCCUGGGAACCUGGAGUUCAAAAAAUUACCAGGACUAAAAGAUACCAGUAAACAUCUAAGACUUUUUGAACAAAUAGUGUGGAGUUACAAAAAUAAUGAAUUAUGGGCUUUACCUUAAUCCUAGGGAAGUCCAGAGGGGUCUCAGCAUGCUUCUUCAGAUGGAAGAUGAUAUCCUAAGUGAGUAAGAAAUUGACUUGUUGGUUUCUUUAAAGGACCAGACAGCUUUAUGAAUAAAUGUUGUAUUUUAGCCAGUUAUAACUACCUGUUUGUGAUUAGGGGAAGUUGUUGUUGUUGUAGUGCCUCUCAUUGACUGCUUGCUGAGUCACUUAGACAUAAUUAGAGAGAUGAGAGACCAGUGUAGAGUUCUGAAGAACCAGUUCCUGGCCAAGUGCCUCUAUCUUUCAAGAUCUUUUUAGUGUAACUCUGAUGAAAACUUUGAAACCAAUUAAAGAGCUACUAGGCAAGGAACUGAUAAGGUAAGAUUUGGAAGUGCAGGUAUCUGCUAUUCCAAACAAGGGGCAGGCUCUGAAGCCACAGAAUAAACAAAUGAUGACCGGCAGCAACUAAAAGCAGGCAGAAGUUAGGAGGGAACUCAUAAUUAAGAGAAGCUGCUACUGAACCAAGACAAUUGUAAAGAUUUUAAGGAUUUCUAAGAGGGAAUAGAAAGUAAAUUGGGAACUGGUUCUCUGAGCAUGAAGAGCAGUGGCGGUACAGAGAGAAGUAGGAGAUUCCAUAUUAGCUGAAAACCCUACCAAUGUAGAGGGAUUUCCAUGAAUUCUCAUAGGUUUCCUUCUUUCAAACACACAAUUGCUUGUGAGUAACUUGGUGGGGUUUUUUAGGGACACCAUAAUAGCCACUGGAGUUGCUAGAAUACUCAGUUAUAUUAAAGAGGGGAUUAAAAUUCAACUAGAAUGUGUAAACCUACAUGGCAUAGAAUUGAGGGCAGGCAGGAAUAUCAUGUGAAAGGUUGCCAUCUCUUCAGUGGCAGCAGUCAGAAAAAGAUGUGAUAAAAGUGGUCACAGGAGGAGGCAGGAUCAGUGUGUAAGAGAUUUUAAAGCAAGGUUACAAGAGACCGGCCUGAGGCUUUCUGAACUGUGAAGGAAAUCAUAUCUAAAUAUAUUUUUAAAAUCCCAAAACCUGUGAAGGGAAUAGUAAAAUAUUUUCAUUUCCUUCCUGUUUUUCUUCUUGAAUGAAGCCCCUUUACACUCCUUAAUGUAAAGUUAGUAUAGUAAAUUAGAGCUGAUCAAAGGAUAUACUUCCUUUCCCCUACACCUUGUCAGCUGCUGCAGCCUGCAGUUGCAAGAGGUAGAGGCACAUGAAAUAGAUGCUGUGCACUCACCAUUGAAAGACUGGCAAUUUUGCAGCACAAUGCAGCAUUUGUAUCAUAGUACCUGAAGCAAUAAGUGAUGGUAUUGCUCCAAAGCAGAUGUGGGGAAGGACCUGAUGCACAGCCUUGCAUGAUUAGCUGGCUACUUACCUCUUUCCCUUUUGUCACUCCAGGUCACACGCAUCAUUUCUCUCACGCUUUUAGAGAUAGCUACAGUGGUGCUGGCACAACAGCCCCAGUGGACCACUCUUCUAAUCUGCUGUGGCAGUUCACCUUCUAUGUAGGCCACUGCAGAACAAAUUAAACUUUUGGUGUUUUAGUUUUCUUCUGAAAAUGGCUUCCUUCAUAGGUUCAGUUUUUCAUUUGUAUCAACAUUCAUUUUUUUUAACUACGUGGCUCUGUCCCUCACCUUUGGCCUUGCAGAGAAUCCAGUAACUGUUUUCCUGCAAGUGUAAGUGUAUUUUCAAGGCCUAAGCUUUAAAUGGUUGUUCUGGCAGAAAAAAAAAAAAAAAAAAA